ensembl:snRNA U6 U6 spliceosomal RNA
ACGCUAGCUUGGGCAGCACAUACGUGCAACUUGGAAUGAUACAGAGAAGAUUAGUCUGGCCCCUGCACAAAGAUGACACACAACUUCAUGAAGCAGUCCAUAUUUUC